UAAGGCAGGAAAGCAAAAGUAUGCUGCUGCUGAAACGGCCAAAACAGGAAGCUAUAACCGAAGAUAGAGGAAAUGGCUGCAAGUACCAAGAUGCUGCUGCCUGAUGUAGUCAGACUACCAGCCUAGCACUGUCCACUCCGACUGAUGAAGGAGUCCCUUUCAGUCCUCCUAAACAAGACCGUUCCAUCUGGAGACUGAAGGUACAACUAUCUGGGUGCAAACCAUGGGUGCACUACCACGCAAUGAGUUUAAAGUCACAACAACCUGAUGGGGGUCAAUGGCUGAAACAAAUAAACCACAACAAGCACUACUACCAGUGCAUGUACUAUAUUUUUACAGGACACACCAUGGAUUAAUAAAUAUGGAAGUGAAAACCUCAAAAAUGCA